rnacentral:lncRNA from 1 species
GUUCCUCACCUGCUCCAAUCAGAGUCUUCGAAGAACGGUCCUGCAACAAACAUAUAGCAUCGGUGAAUAAAGCAAAACAGUUCAUAUGUCUUAGUAGCUUAGACACUGAUAUCAAUGUACAGUCCAAAUUUGGGACAUAUAAAACAUCUUUAGCGAUAUGGUUUCACUCAAGAUAAGAUCACCCAUGCUUGACGAUGUUGUUGUUCCAACAUCCGCAAAACCAACCGCACAAGGCGCCGUAUCUCUCACGUUUACAAGCUGAGAUAGUUCCCCAGCCAUGUGAUGUGAGGCCCCUGUGUCUAUUAUAACAUCACCAAACAUUUUACCUGAAAGUUUUUCAUUACCACCAUUCGACUUCCCUUCUUGGAUUAUUUGAGUAAUCUUGCUCCAUUGCUCAGGAGUAAGAUCAUUGGAGCCUGCACCAUACGAACUCGUUGCCGUUGCAACAUUAGCUGCUCCACAUCCACCACCUCUGCCAUAUCCACGUCCAUUGCCUCUGCUAGAACCACGACCAUCACCACGUCCUCUCGGUUUCUCAGUCACCCAUUCUGGAUAUCCUACCAGCUGCCAGAAAGUGCUCUUCUCAUGACCUGGUUUGCCGCAAUGAUAGCACACUCUUUCCC